CCCAGAAUGGUGUAGUGGUUUGAAUGUUGGGCUGUGACUCUGGAGACCAGGGUUCAAUUCCCGGCUCAGCCA
rnacentral:tRNA from 1 species